AUUUAGGGCCAUACCACUGUGAACGCGCUCAAUCUCAUCUGAUCUCGGAGGCUGAGCGGGUGGGGCCCUGUCAGUACUUGGAUGGGAGAAAUUCUAGAGGCCCUUGGCA
rnacentral:rRNA from 1 species